GGGCCCGCACAAGCGGCGGAGCAUGUGGAUUAAUUCGAUGCAACGCGAAGAACCUUACCUGGGUUUGACAUGCACAGGACGCCGGCAGAGAUGUCGGUUCCCUUGUGGCCUGUGUGCAGGUGGUGCAUGGCUGUCGUCAGCUCGUGUCGUGAGAUGUUGGGUUAAGUCCCGCAACGAGCGCAACCCUUGUCUCAUGUUGCCAGCGCGUUAUGGCGGGGACUCGUGAGAGACUGCCGGGGUCAACUCGGAGGAAGGUGGGGAUGACGUCAAGUCAUCAUGCCCCUUAUGUCCAGGGCUUCACACAUGCUACAAUGGCCGGUACAAAGGGCUGCGAUGCCGUGAGGUGGAGCGAAUCCUUGGUAAAGCCGGUCUCAGUUCGGAUCGGGGUCUGCAACUCGACCCCGUGAAGUCGGAGUCGCUAGUAAUCGCAGAUCAGCAACGCUGCGGUGAAUACGUUCCCGGGCCUU
rnacentral:rRNA from 1 species